CCUCUGGUAGCUCAGUUGGUAGAGCGGUGGACUGUAGAUACAUAGGUCGCUGGUUCAAAUCCGGCCCAGAGGA
rnacentral:tRNA from 1 species